ACGAAGUUCUUAGCGCCGGUUCUGAAAUGGUACGGAAUAUAUUUCAGAAAACGAGGAGAAGGUUGUCGAUCCGUCGGCGGAUGCCUUCCGGCACGCUCUGUCGAGAGUCUGCGGUCAAAUCAUGGGGGCGACUCCGUGGACAAAGCCGCAGACGGAGCGGAAU
rnacentral:ncRNA from 1 species